rnacentral:rRNA from 1 species
GAUGAACGCUGGCGGCGUGCCUAAUACAUGCAAGUCGAGCGAACGGACGAGAAGCUUGCUUCUCUGAUGUUAGCGGCGGACGGGUGAGUAACACGUGGAUAACCUACCUAUAAAACUGGGAUAACUUCGGGAAACCGGAGCUAAUACCGGAUAAUAUUUUGAACCGCAUGGUUCAAAAGUGAAAGACGGUCUUGCUGUCACUUAUAGAUGGAUCCGCGCUGCAUUAGCUAGUUGGUAAGGUAACGGCUUACCAAGGCAACGAUGCAUAGCCGACCUGAGAGGGUGAUCGGCCACACUGGAACUGAGACACGGUCCAGACUCCUACGGGAGGCAGCAGUAGGGAAUCUUCCGCAAUGGGCGAAAGCCUGACGGAGCAACGCCGCGUGAGUGAUGAAGGUCUUCGGAUCGUAAAACUCUGUUAUUAGGGAAGAACAUAUGUGUAAGUAACUGUGCACAUAUUGACGGUACCUAAUCAGAAAGCCACGGCUAACUACGUG